GACGAACGCUGGCGGCGUGCUUAACACAUGCAAGUCGAACGAAGUGGCGAACGGGUGAGUAACGCGUAAUCAACCUGCCCUUCAGAGGGGGACAACAGUUGGAAACGACUGCUAAUACCGUAUACUGAAGGAGGGGCUUGCGUCUGAGUGGCUAGUUGGAGGGGUAAAGGCCCACCAAGGCGACGAUCAGUAGCCGGUCUGAGAUGAUGAACGGCUACGUUGGGACUGUGACACGGCCCAGACGCCUCCGGGAGGCAGCAGUGGGUAAUCUUCCGCAAUGGACGAAAGUCUGACGGGGCAACGCCGCGUGAGUGAUGACGCCCUUCGGGUUGUAAAGCUCUGUUAAUCGGGACGCGGUACCGGAAUAGAAAGCCACGGCUAACUACGUGCCAGCAGCCGCGGUAAUAC
rnacentral:rRNA from 1 species